ACUAACAAUCACACUAAGGUGAGGGUGUUUUGCGUGUGUGCUUGUGUGAUUGUGCGUGUAUGAUUGUGUGAUUGUGCUAGUGUGUGUGAAGUGAUCGUGUGUGAGGAUGUGUGUGUGUGUGUGAAGUGAUCGUGUGUGAGAAUGUGUGUGUGUGUGUGUGUGUAUAAGCGUGUGUGUAAUGUUGUGUGUGUCUUGUGUGUGUACAAAUAUAUACAUUAAAGAGUCAAAUCCGGGUAGUCAUAAUCGGGUGGUCAAAUCCGGGUGAUUUCCCAAUCCGUUUUGUGCGUCUGCGAACAGGUGGUGCUCCAAAACCUGGUGGAUUGAGUCAUCCUAACCUAACAUUACAUUCUAACCUAACUAACUUAUUCUAAAGUCACAUCCGGGGGGGUCAAGUCCAGGGAAAGUGCACUAAACACUUCGUCGUUGUCAAUAAAUGGCACCUGAGUGAGGUCAGGUGGCCAGGUUCCGGUGAUUUCUCGGAUCCGUUCCUGAACUUCCCCGAAGAGGGGGCAUUCCAAGAUGCGGUAAACCGGGUCAUCGUCAAAGUCGGGGCAAUUUGGACACAAUGAGUUUUCGCUUUUUCCAACUCGUAAUUGGUGGAUACCAAAAUUCCCAUGUCCCGUGAGAACCUGUGACUUGUGAUCAGGCCCCUGAAAGUGUAUACAAAUUAUGUGUUCACUGGGAGGGGUGGGGCAAAGGGGGGAAACGGCUAAAAUAGUUCGUGUGCUCCAGCUUAGAGGUCGCGUCAGUUGCAAAGAAAUCUGUAAAUUUAAAGGAAUCUGUAACACAUUUUGCUAAAAGUAAAGAAGGUUCACUUAAAAAUAAUCGACGUGCGCACACUUCUCUUUUUAAUUCUUUGAUUUAUCAACAGCCGAUUAUUUUGCUGUCGUUGCGGUUUUUGGCGACAUUUUGUUUUAAUGUGUUUUAAAGACUUCAGAAAACGAUUUAACGUGAUUUUUUGGAUGUUUUUGUGAUCAAACAUCUCUACUUUUAUAUGGAUCUUUUAUUUGAAUCUAGUGUAUAGUGUGAAUGACAGUGUUUUAAUGAAGCAUGAAUCAACUUAAGGCAAAUUAAGAUAUUAAUAUAAUCAUAUUACACCAAGAAGGAUCACACAAACUUCUCUAAUAAAGGAAUUUCUUGAUGUUUAGGAGGUGAAGACUGUCCUUGGAGAUGAUAACGGUUCUUGGGAUGUAAUUGAAAAUCCCAUGAAGACGAGUUAAAUAUAAUGUGCAGUAAUUAAUAGGUAUAUCAUAAUAAUAAAUAAAUUUAUUGUAGUUGCGAAGCUAGUAUUUUGUGAAAGCAGGGGGUUUAGGACUUGCUAUGGUUCAAGGUUUUCAAAUUCGCCAUGUCCCUCUAUGUCUUAAUCUUUUAUGUUGUUUUACACAAUGUUAUAACGCCUAUGCCUGUUAAAAAAACAAGGUUUGUCCUUUUUGUGAUUGCCUAAUUUAGAAACUAAGCGAAAAAACGUAUUCUACAAGUAUCAUACAAGUUAAUCAAUAUUAAAGCCUACUAUUAUUAUAAAUUUAAAUGAUUACAUGGUAGUUUUAAUCAGUUAACUUCCAGUUAUAGUUAUGUAUAUCAGAUAUGUGGCUUUUUAUUUAAAAUAAUUUUAGCACACUUGUAAUUCUCUUGUGUUUGAGUAAUUUACUAAUAACUAUGAUGCAAUCGAGAUUA